UGAGAUCGCGAAGGCUUGCACCCCUCCCCUGGAAGGCGGAGAGGGGCUGGAGGCAAGUGGAUGGGAGAGGGCGGUCAGGAAGCUGAUGCCCACCUGCCUGGGCCGGGAGGUGUUGCUGAAGAACCCUAUUUGUCAAAGAGCACAGAUUGCUCAGUUUGUGUCUUUUCCAGAAAGAAAACGGAGUUCAGAUAGAGGAAUGAGAUAGUUGAAAGCUUGGAGUGACAAUUGCCAUUGUUUGUUUUAAUUUUUCCAAGAGAUAAGACUGGAUAGAAGUUGAUCUGGUGGCUUUAAUGAGUUAAAGUCUCUGGACCUUGGGAAUGACAUUCCCAAGGAAAUUCAAGUGCCAUUACAUAGCCACAGAAAUCUCAGAAGAAUUGUGGCUCAUGGGAGACAAAAUAUGGAGAAGCAGUCUGAUUUUCAGGAACGGAGGAAAAGACACAUCAAGAAGAUGGCAAACCAGAAAAAGAGCUCACCAGAUCCUGACCAUGCUGGCACUAUGAUCUCAGACUUCCCAGCCUCUAGAACUGUGAGAAAUACAUGUCUGCUGUGUAAGCCACCAGUUUAUGAUAAUUUGUUACAGCAACCUGCAUUUAGACAAUAAUCACUUUAAAUUAUAACCCGUUUGUUCAAAAUAAGUCAUAACCAACU